rnacentral:rRNA from 1 species
UGGAUUAGGCAUGCAUGUCGAGCGAGAACGGGGAGCAUCCCUUAGUACAGCGGCACACGGGUCAGUAAUGCGUGGAUAACUUGCCCUCGAGACUUGGGAUAACGGCGGGAAACUUGCCGCUAAUACCGGAUGGCCUCGCGAACCGGCAUCGGAUUGUGAGUAAAGGUGGGGACCGAAAGGCCUGCUGCUCGAGGAGAGGUUCACGACCUAUCAGCUAGUUGGUGAGGUAACGGCUCACCAAGGCGACGACGGGUAGGCGGGCUGAGAGGCUGACCGCCGACACUGGGACUGAGAACUGCCCAGACUCCUACGGGAGGCUGCAGUCGAGAAUCUUCCACAAUGGACGCAAGUCUGAUGGAGCGACGCCGCGUGUGGGAUGAAGGUCUUUGGAUUGUAAACCACUGUCACGCGUUAUGAAUGCGCAGCAGUCAAUACCUGCUGCGUUGACAAAGGCGCGAGAGGAAGUCACGGCUAACUCUGUGCCAGCAG